AUCCUUUUGUAGUUCAUGAGCAUGGCAGUUGGGUGUUCAUGCACAUGUGUGAGAUGUGCCACCUUUGAAUUCUGUUAUGACAUUGCCACAUUAGCCCAUCUGACA
ensembl:snoRNA